rnacentral:lncRNA from 1 species
AUACUCCCCCUCCACCUCCUCUCUCACACCCCCACUCCAGCACCAGGCUGGGCUGCACUCCCUGAACUGUGAGUCUGGUUUCAUUCUUCCAAAACAGGUUUUUGCUUUGGAGUAUAAAAUGACAAGGGAAAUGCAUGUAGCCAAGAUCCUUAUUUGAGCUCAUUCACACUGGUCUAGACCCGUCCAGUGAGCUGGGGGCAGGUCUUGAAGGUGUGAUUUGCAUGAGCUGAUUUGCAUCAGGCCUGUGUAUUGUUAAAUAAAAGAUAAGGAUGGUUAUCUUGGCCUGGAAGAAAGAGAGAAUUGGGAGGGUGUUUUGGUGCUGGGUCUCCACCUUCCUGGCUCUGGUGGAGACAUUGGUGCAGACUGCCAAUUU